rnacentral:rRNA from 1 species
ACUCAAAUGAAUUGACGGGGGCCCGCACAAGCGGAGGAGCAUGUGGUUUAAUUCGAUGAUACGCGAGGAACCUUACCUGGGCUCGAACGUGAGAUGACUGUAGGUGAAAGCUUACAUUCCUUCGGGACAUCUUACGAGGUGCUGCAUGGUUGUCGUCAGCUCGUGCCGUGAGGUGUCGGGUUAAGUCCCAUAACGAGCGCAACCCCUACCUUUAGUUGCCAACAGGUCAUGCUGGGGACUCUAAAGGAACUGCCUACGCAAGUAGUGAGGAAGGCGGGGAUGACGUCAAAUCAGCACGGCCCUUACGUCCAGGGCUACACACGUGCUACAAUGGCCGAUACAGAGGGCAGCUACCAGGCGACUGGAUGCAAAUCUCCAAAGUCGGUCUCAGUUCGGAUCGGAGUCUGCAACUCGACUCCGUGAAGUUGGAUUCGCUAGUAAUCGCGCAUCAGCCAUGGCGCGGUGAAUACGUUCCCGGGCCUUGUACACACCGCCCGU